UACGAGAGGCCCAAACGUUAUUCGGAAUUACUGGGCGUAAAGCGUGCGCAGGCGGCUUUGCAAGACAGAUGUGAAAUCCCCGGGCUCAACCUGGGAACUGCAUUUGUGACUGCAAGGCUAGAGUACGGCAGAGGGGGAUGGAAUUCCGCGUGUAGCAGUGAAAUGCGUAGAUAUGCGGAGGAACACCGAUGGCGAAGGCAAUCCCCUGGGCCUGUACUGACGCUCAUGCACGAAAGCGUGGGGAGCAAACAGG
rnacentral:rRNA from 1 species